rnacentral:rRNA from 1 species
GGGUUGUGAGGUUAAGCGACUAAGCGUACACGGUGGAUGCCCUGGCAGUCAGAGGCGAUGAAGGGCGUGCUAAUCUGCGAUAAGCGCCGGUAAGGUGAUAUGAACCGUUAUAACCGGCGAUACCCGAAUGGGGAAACCCAGUGUGACUCGUCACACUAUCAUUAACUGAAUCCAUAGGUUAAUGAGGCGAACCGGGGGAACUGAAACAUCUAAGUACCCCGAGGAAAAGAAAUCAACCGAGAUUCCCCCAGUAGCGGCGAGCGAACGGGGAGGAGCCCAGAGCCUGAAUCAGCAUGUGUGUUAGUGGAAGCGUCUGGAAAGGCGCGCGAUACAGGGUGACAGCCCCGUACACAAAAGCGCAUGUGUUGUGAGCUCGAUGAGUAGGGCGGGACACGUGGUAUCCUGUCUGAAUAUGGGGGGACCAUCCUCCAAGGCUAAAUACUCCUGACUGACCGAUAGUGAACCAGUACCGUGAGGGAAAGGCGAAAAGAACCCCGGCGAGGGGAGUGAAAAAGAACCUGAAACCGUGUACGUACAAGCAGUGGGAGCACAGGUUUACCUGUGUGACUGCGUACCUUUUGUAUAAUGGGUCAGCGACUUAUAUUCUGUAGCAAGGUUAACCGAAUAGGGGAGCCGGAGGGAAACCGAGUCUUAACCGGGCGUUAAGUUGCAGGGUAUAGACCCGAAACCCGGUGAUCUAGCCA